UGUGGCCCUUAUGAAGCUGCAGCUGCUUCCAUUUAGCAGCUGUGGUCAAAAAGGAGCCCACAGUGACAUUUUUCCUUGAAGGUCCCUGUUCUGUUUGUUGUAACAGUUCUGCAACAUUUCAGAAAAACAUAAUU
rfam:Erinaceus europaeus unplaced genomic scaffold scaffold00182, whole genome shotgun sequence